rnacentral:sRNA from 1 species
GCAGGUAUGCGUCGCGAAUGUACUCGAUGACGCUAGCCGGAUUGGCU